GAAGUUCUGGUUCACCUUAUGAAGUGAUUUACAACUAUUUCCUUUCUUUUUUUUCCUUCCUUUUGUACUGUAGGAGAAACUGCUCCAAAGUGUGUACAUAUCAAGAGCAGUAACUUGCAACUUCUGCAACCAGAAAAACACAGGACUGAUCUCCAAGUAUAUCUGAUGCUCUUUCCAGACUCAUUUCUCCAUAUAUUCAUCCCAACAUUAAUGGCCCCCUGGCCAUGAAGUUGUAUUUAGACCCCCAGC
rnacentral:lncRNA from 1 species